GCCCAGGUGGUGAAAUUGGUAGACACAAGGGACUUAAAAUCCCUCGGCAGAAAUGCCAUGCCGGUUCGAUUCCGGCCCUGGGCACCA
rnacentral:tRNA from 1 species